AUCCUUGGUCUGCGCUCCAGCGUGGGUGCAGCUGUGCAGGCACGAGGUGUCCAUCAGACCGUGGCUACCAAUGGGCCGAGCAGCACCCAGCCUGCCCUGCCGAAGGCCAGAGCCGUGGCUCCCAAACCCAGCAGCCGGGGGGAGUAUGUGGUGGCCAAGCUGGAUGACCUCAUCAACUGGGCCCGCAGGAGCUCCCUGUGGCCCAUGACCUUCGGCCUGGCCUGCUGCGCCGUGGAGAUGAUGCACAUGGCCGCACCACGCUAUGACAUGGACCACUUCCGCGUGGUCUUACGCACCAGCCCACGCCAGUCCGACGUGAUGAUCGUGGCCGGCACACUCACCAACAAGAUGGCCCCCGCGCUCCGCAAGGUCUGCGACCAGAUGCCCGAGCCACGUUACGUGGUGUCGGUGGGGAGCUGUGCCAACGGCGGCGGCUACUACCACUACUCCUACUCGGUUGUGAGGGGCUGCGACCGCAUCGUGCCCGUGGACAUCUAUGUCCCAGGCUGCCUGCCCACGGCCGAGGCCCUGCUCUAGGGCAUCCUGCAGCUGCAGAGGAAGAUCAAGCGGGAGCGGAGGCUGCAGAUCUGGUAUCGCAGGUAGCGCCACCGCCAGAGCCUGGCCCGGAGCCGUCCUGUCCCCCUUCUGUCCCGUGAGUUUGUCAAUAAACCCCCCC